rnacentral:rRNA from 1 species
AGAGUUUGAUCCUGGCUCAGAGCGAACGCUGGCGGCAGGCCUAAUACAUGCAAGUCGAGCGAGCCCUUCGGGGCUAGCGGCGGACGGGUGAGUAACGCGUGGGAACGUGCCCUUUGGUACGGAACAACUGAGGGAAACUUCAGCUAAUACCGUAUGUGCCCUUCGGGGGAAAGAUUUAUCGCCAUUGGAGCGGCCCGCGUUGGAUUAGGUAGUUGGUGAGGUAAAGGCUCACCAAGCCUACGAUCCAUAGCUGGUCUGAGAGGAUGACCAGCCACACUGGGACUGAGACACGGCCCAGACUCCUACGGGAGGCAGCAGUAGGGAAUCUUGCGCAAUGGGCGAAAGCCCGACGCAGCCAUGCCGCGUGAAUGAUGAAGGUCUUAGGAUUGUAAAAUUCUUUCACCGGGGACGAUAAUGACGGUACCCGGAGAAGAAGCCCCGGCUAACUUCGUGCCAGCAGCCGGG